rnacentral:tRNA from 1 species
AGCCUUAUAGUCAAUACAAAAUGAUAUUAGACUGCAAUUCUAAAGUAGUUAAAAACUGGGGCUU